rnacentral:rRNA from 1 species
GAGCACGUAGGUGGGUUUGUAAGUCAGAUGUGAAAGCCUUCUGUUCAACGGAAGAAUUGCAUCUGAAACUGCGAGUCUUGAGUGUAGGAGGGGAGAAUGUAACUUCUGGCGGAGCGGUGAAAUGCGUAGAUAUCAGAAGGAACUCCGGCGGCGAAAGCGAUUCUCUGGCCUAUUACUGACACUCAGUGUGCGAAAGCUAGGGGAGCAAACGGGAUUAGAUACCCCGGUAGUCCUAGCCGUAAACGAUGGGCACUAAGUAGAGGGGUUUU